rnacentral:rRNA from 2 species
UGAGAGUAACUGUUCAGGUAUUGACGGUAUUUAACCAGAAAGCCACGGCUAACUACGUGCCAGCAGCCGCGGUAAUACGUAGGUGGCAAGCGUUGUCCGGAUUUAUUGGGCGUAAAGCGAGCGCAGGCGGUUUUUUAAGUCUGAUGUGAAAGCCUUCGGCUCAACCGAAGAAGUGCAUCGGAAACUGGGAAACUUGAGUGCAGAAGAGGACAGUGGAACUCCAUGUGUAGCGGUGAAAUGCGUAGAUAUAUGGAAGAACACCAGUGGCGAAGGCGGCUGUCUGGUCUGUAACUGACGCUGAGGCUCGAAAGUAUGGGUAGCAAACAGGAUUAGAUACCCUGGUAGUCCAUACCGUAAACGAUGAAUGCUAAGUGUUGGAGGGUUUCCGCCCUUCAGUGCUGCAGCUAACGCAUUAAGCAUUCCGCCUGGGGAGUACGGCCGCAAGGCUGAAACUCAAAGGAAUUGACGGGGGCCCGCACAAGCGGUGGAGCAUGUGGUUUAAUUCGAAGCUACGCGAAGAACCUUACCAGGUCUUGACAUACUAUGCAAAUCUAAGAGAUUAGACGUUCCCUUCGGGGACAUGGAUACAGGUGGUGCAUGGUUGUCGUCAGCUCGUGUCGUGAGAUGUUGGGUUAAGUCCCGCAACGAGCGCAACCCUUAUUAUCAGUUGCCAGCAUUAAGUUGGGCACUCUGGUGAGACUGCCGGUGACAAACCGGAGGAAGGUGGGGAUGACGUCAAAUCAUCAUGCCCCUUAUGACCUGGGCUACACACGUGCUACAAUGGAUGGUACAACGAGUUGCGAACUCGCGAGAGUAAGCUAAUCUCUUAAAGCCAUUCUCAGUUCGGAUUGUAGGCUGCAACUCGCCUACAUGAAGUCGGAAUCGCUAGUAAUCGCGGAUCAGCAUGCCGCGGUGAAUACGUUCCCGGGCCUUGUACACACCGCCCGUCACACCAUGAGAGUUUGUAACACCCAAAGUCGGUGGGGU